AGCAAAAUUAACCGCCAAGAUUCCAGCGAUCAUGAAGUAAAACAAAUCCAAUCUUCCUUUGUUCAAAUCUUCAGCCAACCAGUUACCGCCAGCCGAGUUCUGCGUCGUCCUGUGUACCGUUGCAAUCAAGAAGCUGCCGAGGUAACUAGAAACUCCUCCUCCCACAUAGAAGAUGGAGCCGGCGAAACUCCUCAUGUUCUCGGGGAACUGCUUGUAGUAAAACUCCAUCUGUCCAAUAGCUCCAAAUGCCUCGGCUACACCCGCGAGUGUGAGCUGCGGUAUCAGCCACAUAGCUGACAUUGAGGAGAUUUCUCCCUUCCGUGGCGCCAUACCGAGUGUUGGUUUAGUCAAUGCGAAAGUCCUCCUCCGUUCCUCGACGAAACCAGACACUACCAAGCUCAAAAAGGCGAAGAAAAUCCCGGUUCCUAUCCUUUGCAAGAGCGUGAUCCCGGUGUCUAUACCGGUGAUUCUUCUCAAGGUAGGCACGAGGACGCGGUCGUAGAUUAUGAUGAAAACAGUCAUUCCUGUCAUCAAGAAGACCACAUAGGUGGCUGCAGGGAUCACAAACCCUCCAGAGCCUAAGCGACGAUCGCUCUGGAGGGCUUGAAAGACAGGAUAGGUCAUCUGUUGCGUGAUGGUCAAGUAAUAGAUCGAUGAAGCAAACCAUAUAGGAAGCACUCUCACAAUGCACUUCACUUCUUCAACUUGUUGCAUUGUACAUAGCUUCCAUGGAUCCGUAGGCUUACCAUCAGCAUCCAACUUGUCUUCAGGAGCCAAGAUCGCCGCCUUAUCAAGAAACCUACCAAAAACAGAAAGCUUGCUUUCUAAGUAAACAAAAGUGGAAAGAUAUUAUUUAUAACCGUGUGUCUUUACCUGAACUGGUCGGUGUACUUGAGCUUAGAGUUUGCGUAGUUUAGUGGGUAGUAAUUGUAAAGGUUAACCCAAGGCUGCUUCACAGCCUUUAACCCACGUUUCUUGAUAGCAACCGUUAUAACUUGAGCUAUACUAGCCAAUGGACUACCUGAGGCUUUGAUCUUGACAUACAACUUAUCACCCGCAAAGAAGAUCAGGUCUAAAAGCUUCCAGAAGAUGAGAAACCACAUGAUCAUUAGACUUUGUUCUUGUCUUGUUGUUUGAUCACAUCUCCAUUUGUUUCAUAAGCUGUCACUUCAUCAUCACUUCCUUUGUACCUAUACCAUCUUGACAUCACCAAGAAGUAAGCAAAAUUAACCGCCAAGAUUCCAGCGAUCAUGAAGUAAAACAAAUCCAAUCUUCCUUUGUUCAAAUCUUCAGCCAACCAGUUACCGCCAGCCGAGUUCUGCGUCGUCCUGUGUACCGUUGCAAUCAAGAAGCUGCCGAGGUAACUAGAAACUCCUCCUCCCACAUAGAAGAUGGAGCCGGCGAAACUCCUCAUGUUCUCGGGGAACUGCUUGUAGUAAAACUCCAUCUGUCCAAUAGCUCCAAAUGCCUCGGCUACACCCGCGAGUGUGAGCUGCGGUAUCAGCCACAUAGCUGACAUUGAGGAGAUUUCUCCCUUCCGUGGCGCCAUACCGAGUGUUGGUUUAGUCAAUGCGAAAGUCCUCCUCCGUUCCUCGACGAAACCAGACACUACCAAGCUCAAAAAGGCGAAGAAAAUCCCGGUUCCUAUCCUUUGCAAGAGCGUGAUCCCGGUGUCUAUACCGGUGAUUCUUCUCAAGGUAGGCACGAGGACGCGGUCGUAGAUUAUGAUGAAAACAGUCAUUCCUGUCAUCAAGAAGACCACAUAGGUGGCUGCAGGGAUCACAAACCCUCCAGAGCCUAAGCGACGAUCGCUCUGGAGGGCUUGAAAGACAGGAUAGGUCAUCUGUUGCGUGAUGGUCAAGUAAUAGAUCGAUGAAGCAAACCAUAUAGGAAGCACUCUCACAAUGCACUUCACUUCUUCAACUUGUUGCAUUGUACAUAGCUUCCAUGGAUCCGUAGGCUUACCAUCAGCAUCCAACUUGUCUUCAGGAGCCAAGAUCGCCGCCUUAUCAAGAAACC
rnacentral:lncRNA from 1 species